UUGGCUUCUGAAGAAAUAGACGACCGGCAACUAAGAGGAGAAUUGGAGAUUGCAGUCGCAAGAAGAGAAGAAAAAAAUAGAAGCAGAGUUAAGUCUUUUGAAUUAAUCUCCAUGAUUGGUUUUAUCAACUCUUUUAUUUCCAAUUCAAUUACAUUAGGCUAAAUUUUCUAUUUGGUUGAGGGUGAAUUCAAAACCCCAAACAUGUGAUAUAAUUAAUUUUUAAUUUCUUUCAUUCAAUUUAAUUGAAAUUGUUUAUGUUCUUCUAUAAUUAAUGUCCAUAUUUUAUUCUUGUCUUAUUUGAGUGGCAAAAUAGAUAGGACUUGAAUAAAUUCUAUUGCUAGAUUAAAAUUCUUGAUCCGUAAUUGUCUUGAUAUUUUAAUCCUCAGUAGCAGGUUAGAAUCAAUGAUUUCAAUUGGAGAACAUUACCUAGGUUAAAUAAUCCGAGCUUAUGUAUUUAUUGCCUAGAUCAACCUGAUAUCUUUCUUGACUUAAUGCCUUCCAUUAUCUUAAAUUUAAAGAGCUUAUUUUAAAUUAUUUAAUGGUCAAAGAUUAGGUGAAAGAGUUUGUUUUGUCUAAUAACACACUAAGGAAAGAUUGACAUUAACAGAGUUUAUUGUUUCCUACAGUUGAUAGUUUCAGAACAAAUUGAUGAUAGAAUUGAUAUAUUAUAUGCAUGUUUGAUGGUGGCGAAUGAUCCUUUAAUCAAAGUUUUCAUCAUUAUUAUUUUUUUCUCCUUUAAUUAGAGUUUUUAUUGAAUUAUUGUUUUCAUAGUUUUAAUUUCUUUAUUUCUUACUAUUUAGUUAAAAAUUCAUAAAACCCCCAUUUUUAUUUAUAACUUGCAUUUUCUUUAAUUAGAUUAAUUAUUAUUAUUAUUAUUUAUUUAUUUUAUUUUAAGUCCUACUUUAGAGUUGAUCAUAAAUAUAACUAGCAUAGUGUUUGUGGGAUCGAUUCUUAUUCGCUUUGUAAUAGUUAUUUAUAUUAUUAGUAAGGUUUUAAAUUUGAUGUACUCUAACGACACUACCAAUCAUUUUUCUUUCAUUAUGAUUUUGAAUCAACUCUAACAUGCACAAAUACAUUAUCAUAGAUAAAAACAUUAUUUUCCUUUGGCACAUGGUCAAUCACAUGUAUAAGAUAAUUUUUCUUUGGUUGCAUAUAAGUUGCUUCAGGAGUAACAUACUCCUUUUUCUUGUCCUUUUGCUCUGUCACCAUCUAAUUAAAAUGAAUGAAAUCUAAAGACUCAAAAUAUUAUACAUUUUUAGUGAUUCAUGCCAGUAAUAUGGCAAAUGCUAUGUUACAAUUAAUGUAACAUACACACUCAACAACAACCACACAAAUUGUGUGGGCCCAUUAUUUAUGUGGUUGUUGUUGAGUGUGUAUGUUACAUUAAUUGUAACAUAGGGGCUCCCCAAUAAUAUUAAUUGAGAGAAGAUAAUAAUGUUAAUAGAAACUUCAUGGUUGUAACAAAAUAUGCAGAUUUGUUGUAACAAGAAGUGUGUAAGAUGAAGCAAUAUCUAAGUUAGAAACAAUUAAAUUGUUGGAAGCAGUUUACAGUACACUUUUAUUUUUAGAAAUGAAUUUGCCAAUGACUCGUAGGGAUGGAGCCUUGGGGGUACCUAAGUGAGAAAAUACAUAAAAGAGAACCUGAGUAGCAAUGGUUGACUUUUGUGGAUGCAUUUUUUGAAAUCAUAUGGAGCACAUCAACGUUAGGAAAUAUCAAGAAGCGUGCUUUUAAGGAUUUUCUCUUCACCUCUAUUUAGUUUUUAAUCUUAUUCAUAUGUGUUUGUAAAUAUUGAACCAAGACCUUGUGGGGACCUUAAGGGUAUCCCAUAAUAAUUAGCUUCAUUAUAAAAAUGUAUAUGUAAAUAUUGUAUAAAAACCUUGUGGGGACUUCAAGGUACCUCACAACGGUCACUUUUAUUAUGAAUAAGUAUCUGUAAAUAUUGUGUAAAGUCCUUGUUGGGACCUUAGGGUUACCCAACAAUGGUCAAUUAUGCUGUAAGUCUCUAUAAAGACUUAAGAGAUAAAAAAAUAUCACUCUUCCGAGGUUAACCACAGCCAAUCUUGUGAUGCUAUGAUCUAUGUUUACUGAUUAGUGUUAAAAAUUGUAUGUUUA
rnacentral:lncRNA from 1 species